UAGAGAUAGCUGGUUAUUCAGGAAAGGGAUCUUAGUCCGAUUUUAACCCUUUACGUAACAUUAAAUACUCUUAUAGGCUUAAAAUUUAGUCAAAUAAGGUACAGCCUAUUUGAAACAGGAUACAACCUCCAACAGAGGGUAAUGUUUAGACAAUGCGACCAAGUAGGCCCAAAAGCAGCCAUCUUUUAAAAAGCGUUAAAGCCUUAUCACACUAAUCAUUAAUACCAACCUUAAUCCAAACCCCCUCACCACUACUGAAUGACUUCAUAUCUAUAUGACAGCCCUUAUGUUAAAACUAGUAACAAGAAUAAUAAUUCUCCUAUAAUGUAAGUGUAAGCCGAAAUGGACCACCCAUCGGCACUUACCGCCAAUGAACCCACAGUAACAACCCCCCUCAAGAAAACCUUACUCUCCCUAACGUUAACCUCACACAAGAACAUUUCUGGAAAGAAUUAAAAAAAGAGGAAGGAACUCGGCAAACAUUAACCCCGCCUGUUUACCAA
rnacentral:rRNA from 1 species